rnacentral:lncRNA from 1 species
CCCGGCUUGGCCCUCCUCCCUUCUCAGGCAUGCAUACAGAUUGGUGGCUAGUCCCUGUUCCAACCUCUGCAGGAGCUACGUGGCAAGUUACAGUCAGCAUCCCGUGCCUGGUGUCACAGCCACCACCCCAGUUUAUGGUUUAUCUGCCCUUGUCUCCCUGCCCAUCUGAUAAGCACUGAAAAUAUGGCACCUCCAGGUGGCUUGAAUUUGUUUUCCUUGAGGUACAGGAAGGCAGGGCACGUUUAAAAACACAAGAGGCCUUUUUCUCAGACCUGCCCUCCCCCCGCCCCAGACAGGUUCUUAUCUCACAAGGGAAGCUGGCGAGGCUGGAGGAAGAAGAGGGCGGGAAGCAGGCCGGAAGGGAAGGAGGAGAGAAGCCAAGAGCCAGGGUGGGGCGUCAUCUAGGUGAAAAUCGUUCAGCUGUCUGGAGUUGGCUUCUACUGUGCCAUUGGGGAGACCAAGGACAGUCUGGCUCAGUGUGAGUGCCCCAGGACAGACGGAGGUAAGUGACAAGGUUCAGAAGUUAUU